rnacentral:rRNA from 1 species
UAGGGAAUCUUCCGCAAUGGACGCAAGUCUGACGGAGCAACGCCGCGUGAGUGAAGAAGGAUUUCGGUUCGUAAAACUCUGUUGUUAGAGAAGAACAGCGCAUAGAGUAACUGUUAUGCGUGUGACGGUAUCUAACCAGAAAGCCACGGCUAACUACGUGCCAGCAGCCGCGGUAAUACGUAGGUCCCGAGCGUUGUCCGGAUUUAUUGGGCGUAAAGCGAGCACAGGCGGUUAGAAAAGUCUGAAGUGAAAGGCAGUGGCUCAACCAUUGUAGGCUUUGGAAACUGUUUAACUUGAGUGCAGAAGGGUAGAGUGGAAUUCCAUGUGUAGCGGUGAAAUGCGUAGAUAUAUGGAGGAACACCAGUGGCGAAAGCGGCUCUCUGGUCUGUAACUGACGCUGAGGCUCGAAAGCGUGGGGAGCGAACAGG